rnacentral:rRNA from 1 species
UGCGUAGGUGGUCGGGUAAGUCUGAUGUGAAAUCUCCGAGCUUAACUCGGAAAUGGCAUUGGAUACUAUUCGGCUAGAGGGUUUGAGGGGGGACGUGGAAUACUUGGUGUAGCAGUGAAAUGCGUAGAUAUCAAGUGGAACACCAGUGGCGAAGGCGAGUCCCUGGAAAACUCCUGACACUGAGGCACGAAAGCUAGGGGAGGCAAACA